rnacentral:rRNA from 1 species
GAUGAACGCUGGCGGCGUGCCUAAUACAUGCAAGUCGAGCGAACGGACGAGAAGCUUGCUUCUCUGAUGUUAGCGGCGGACGGGUGAGUAACACGUGGAUAACCUACCUAUAAGACUGGGAUAACUUCGGGAAACCGGAGCUAAUACCGGAUAAUAUUUUGAACCGCAUGGUUCAAAAGUGAAAGACGGUCUUGCUGUCACUUAUAGAUGGAUCCGCGCUGCAUUAGCUAGUUGGUAAGGUAACGGCUUACCAAGGCAACGAUGCAUAGCCGACCUGAGAGGGUGAUCGGCCACACUGGAACUGAGACACGGUCCAGACUCCUACGGGAGGCAGAAGAAGGGAAUCUUGCGCAAUGGGGGAAAGCCUGACGGAGCAACGCCGCGUGAGUGAUGAAGGUCUUCGGAUCGUAAAACUCUGUUAUUGGGGAAGACCAUAUGUGUAAGUAACUGUGCACAUCGUGACGGUACCUAAUCAGAAAGCCACGGCUAACUACGUG